rnacentral:rRNA from 1 species
CCAGACUCCUACGGGAGGCAGCAGUGGGGAAUAUUGCAAAAUGGGCGCAAGCCUGAUGCAGCCAUGCCGCGUGUAUGAAGAAGGCCUUCGGGUUGUAAAGGACUUUCAGUCGGGAGGAAGGUGGUAAGGUUAAUAACCUUAUCAAUUGACGUUACCGACAGAAGAAGCACCGGCUAACUCCGCGCCAGCAGCCGCGGUAAUACGGAGGGUGCAAGCGUUAAUCGGAAUUACUGGGCGUAAAGCGCACGCAGGCGGUCUGUCAAGUCGGAUGUGAAAUCCCCGGGCUCAACCUGGGAACUGCAUUCGAAACUGGCAGGCUGGAGUCUUGUAGAGGGGGGUAGAAUUUCAGGUGUAGCGGUGAAAUGCGUAGAGAUCUGGAGGAAUACCGGUGGCGAAGGCGGCCCCCUGGACAAAGACUGACGCUCAGGUGCGAAAGCGUGGGGAGCAAACAGGAUUAGAUACCCCGGUA